AGAGUUUGAUCCUGGCUCAGGAUGAACGCUAGCGGCAGGCUUAACACAUGCAAGUCGAGGGGUAACAUUGUGCUUGCACAGAUGACGACCGGCGCACGGGUGCGUAACGCGUAUAGAACCUACCUUUUACAGAGGAAUAGCCUUUAGAAAUGAAGAUUAAUGCCUCAUAGUAUUGAGUAUUCGCAUGAAUAUUUAAUUAAAGAUUUAUCGGUAAAAGAUGGCUAUGCGUCCUAUUAGUUAGUUGGUAAGGUAACGGCUUACCAAGACAGCGAUAGGUAGGGGUCCUGAGAGGGAGAUCCCCCACACUGGUACUGAGACACGGACCAGACUCCUACGGGAGGCAGCAGUGAGGAAUAUUGGACAAUGGAGGAGACUCUGAUCCAGCCAUGCCGCGUGUAGGAAGAAUGCCCUAUGGGUUGUAAACUACUUUUAUACAGGAAGAAACACUGGUAUGUAUACCAGCUUGACGGUACUGUAAGAAUAAGGACCGGCUAACUCCGUGCCAGCAGCCGCGGUAAUACGGAGGGUCCGAGCGUUAUCCGGAAUCAUUGGGUUUAAAGGGUCCGCAGGCGGUCGAUUAAGUCAGAGGUGAAAUCCCAUAGCUCAACUAUGGAACUGCCUUUGAUACUGGUUGACUUGAGUCAUAUGGAAGUAGAUAGAAUGUGUAGUGUAGCGGUGAAAUGCAUAGAUAUUACACAGAAUACCGAUUGCGAAGGCAGUCUACUACGUAUGUACUGACGCUGAGGGACGAAAGCGUGGGGAGCGAACAGGAUUAGGUACCCUGGUAGUCCACGCCGUAAACGAUGGAUACUAG
rnacentral:rRNA from 1 species